GCCCUUAGAGUUUGAUCCUGGCUCAGGAUGAACGCUGGCGGUAUGCUUUACACAUGCAAGUCGUACGAGAGUUUUUAACUCAAGUGGCGGACGGGUGAGUAACACGUAAGAAUUUGCCUUUAGGAGGGGGAUAACAACUGGAAACGGUUGCUAAUACCCCAUAUGCUUUCGAGUAAAAUGGAUUUUCCGCCUAAAGAGAAGCUUGCGGCUGAUUAGCUUGUUGGUGAGGUAAUGGCUCACCAAGGCGACGAUCAGUAUCUGGUUUGAGAGGACGAUCAGACACACUGGAACUGAGACACGGUCCAGACUCCUACGGGAGGCAGCAGUGGGGAAUUUUCCGCAAUGGGCGAAAGCCUGACGGAGCAAUACCGCGUGAGGGAUGACGGCCUAUGGGUUGUAAACCUCUUUUUUCAGGGAGGAAUCAAUGACGUGUACCUGAAGAAUAAGCAUCGGCUAACUCCGUGCCAGCAGCCGCGGUAAGACGGAGGAUGCAAGUGUUAUCCGGAAUCACUGGGCGUAAAGCGUCUGUAGGUGGUCAAAUAAGUCAACUGUUAAAUCUUGAGGCUCAACCUCAAGAUCGCAGUCGAAACUAUUCGACUAGAGUAUAGUAGGGGUAAAGGGAAUUUCCAGUGGAGCGGUGAAAUGCGUAGAGAUUGGAAAGAACACCGAUGGCGAAGGCACUUUACUGGGCUAUUACUAACACUGAGAGACGAAAGCUAGGGUAGCAAAUGGGAUUGGAUACCCCAGUAGUCCUAGCCGUAAACAAUGGAUACUAGAUGUUGAACAGAUCGACCUGUGCAGUAUCAAAGCUAACGCGUUAAGUAUCCCGCCUGGGAAGUAUGCUCGCAAGAGUGAAACUCAAAUGAAUUGACGGGGAAGGGC
rnacentral:rRNA from 1 species